CGGGACGGGUGAGUAAUGUCUGGGAAACUGCCUGAUGGAGGGGGAUAACUACUGGAAACGGUAGCUAAUACCGCAUAACGUCGCAAGACCAAAGAGGGGGACCUUCGGGCCUCUUGCCAUCGGAUGUGCCCAGAUGAGAUUAGCUAGUAGGUGGGGUAAAGGCUCACCUAGGCGACGAUCCCUAGCUGGUCUGAGAGGAUGACCAGCCACACUGGAACUGAGACACGGUCCAG
rnacentral:rRNA from 1 species